rnacentral:lncRNA from 10 species
GUGCACUGAACAGAGGCAGCAAGUGAGCAGAACAACUCAUCAUGACGGCUUUUUGUCCUUGUCUCCAUGCAAGCCAGGUGUUAUUUCUGUGGUUUCGGACGUUGGUAUUGAUGCACGGUUUUUUAAAAGGGGAGGCUAAAGUCCCAGAGUUUGGUAGACUGCACCUCUCCAGAUGAGAUUUUAAGAGCCCCCGAUUUUCACACAUGGGGAGAGUGAUUGCCCUCACAAACUCUUCCUCCUCAUUGUGGUUUCUAGGUUUUCACUUUGUCAGACAUUUUGAGUUUCGAUCACAAACACUCCACGUUCACAUCACCCAUGCAUGCUGCCCACCCGUAUCCACAAGGCUGCUGUGUCUACUCUGCUCCUGUUUUCCAAAGCACCCCUUCCAUCAGGAAAUGUGCCUUCCAUUCCUAGGGAUGUCAUGAUUCCCAGCUUUCAUAUCUCCUCACAGAGGAGGUUCCCAAAUUACUCUGGGUUCUCAGUCCAGAAGUUGAGCCUUUAAAACCCUUUUCUGUCAUAUGGUCAGUCCGUUGCAGGGUGCAGCCCCUCAGCAGCCAAGAUUCCCUGUGGAUAGCUCUUCAAUCUGAUUGCCUGGGCUUUCUCCAUCAUGAAACCUUUCAUCUCCUUGGUCCUUGUCACACACCCUGAACCCCAAAAUAGAAAAGCCACAACAGAAUGAAGUAGAUGAGAAACAAUCUCCUUGUUUAUAAUUCCGUUUAUUUCCUCACAUACCAGCCAAGCUUCUCAGUCAGGCAGACACAAUAGAUGGAAUGGCAAGGGAAGUGAAGAGUGGAGGCUGCAUCCCUUCAGCCGCCAGCUGAUGUUCUGCUUAUUUCGCAUACCGGAACUCCCAGGCGUCCUCAAACCACAAUCACAGUUGUUGGUUCCAGAAACAUCUUCUUUGGAAAAACAUGUGACAUCAGUUUCCUCAGAGUCUUCCGGACAAUCCAGUCACACAGAACUGACAAAACCUUGUCAGGUGAGAAGAUAAGGAUCUUCUUCAAUACAGAAUAUGUCAACAUCUCCUUCUGAAUAGUUCCGUUUAUUUGCUCACAUACCAGCCAAGCUUCUCAGUCAGCAGGCACAAUAGACUGAAUAGGAAGGGAAGUGAAGAGUGAAGUCUGGAUCCGUUUAGCCUCCAGCUGAUGUUCUGCUUAUUUCCUGUACUGGAACUCUCAGAAGUCCUCAAACCACAAUCACAGUUGUUGGUUCCAGAAACAUCUUCUUUGGAAAAACAUGUGACAUCAGUUUCCUCAGAGUCUCCCGGACAAUCCAGUCACGCAGAACUGACAAAACCUUGUCCAGUAAGAAGGUAAGAAUCUUCUUCAAUAGAGAAUACGUCAACGUCUCCGUGAACGAAGAGAUCUGCUGGUUCCAAGGACUUGUCGUGGAUUUCUGUCCUAGAUACUUUCUUCCGUAAUUCAAGAUAAAGAAAAUUACAAUCUCUGCUGUCCAUUCCAUCGCUUUUCCCUUCAGAAUCAUAAUCAGAGAAUCCUUGCAGAACGUCGUGAGUGUGCUCUCAGCUGCAAUCACCAGAAGGACUCUUCACACUCGGUGAGUCCUCCUCAUUUUAUAGAAGCCAAAGCAGUGACGUAUGCUCACCCCUCCCGCCCCCAGGAGAGAGGUUGCUGGCCAAUGAGCUUGAGCUUCGUCAUCCUUCCAAGCCCCACCCAGUUCCUUUGCUUCCCUUUCACCAACUUUGACUGAAAUGAAUAGGACGUGUUGUGUUUUUAGGAACACUUCCAAGAAGUUUCUCCUCCUCUAUGAUGAAACCAACACAAGAAAGCCAAAAGGGCGUUUAACCCCUUGAAGCACUGAGAGUUUCCCUGCUGAUAUUCUUAGACUGUUCUUUUUCUAAAACGAGAAAGAGGUAAGUUCUCUUUUUUUUUUUACACUGCCCAAAACUCUCUCUGCUCAGUGCUGGGCACUGGAAAACAAUGGCCCUCUCUCUGGAAACCACUAUCUGCCAUCUCAAGGGCCCACUACAGGUCUGCCCAGCAUUUUCAUCCCUUCCUCAAGUCUGGUGCCCAGGACCCUCCUCUGCUCUGACAGCCAGGCAGCAGCACUCAAACUCCCCUCCCCUCUUAGCCUUCAUACCUUCAGCUGCACUUCUGCCUCUGCAGUGUCAGGAUGACCUCCCCUUCCUCCUGUCCUUCCUCAUUCUUAAGACUUCCUACCCCUUCUGGAUUAAUUUAUGGAAAACCUAAAUAAUCUCUUUCAAAUUUUAGCCCACUUUUUACAUGUAGAUUGUUUUAUAAGAUGAAUUUUAACAAACCUUUUCUAAGUUGUUCAACCAUUUUCUUUUGUCUUUUUGUUAUUUUAUUUCCUGAAUUUAAAAUAUUUGAAAACCUCUAAACUUGACAAAACUAAUUUUUUCAUAAAAGCUAUGUUCUCAUGUCCUUUUAUAAACUUUGACUUAAAAUAUAUUUUACUUGUUCAGUCAGAUUUGUGUGUGAAAAUUUUUAAGUAGCUUUAGAUACAAAUAUUAAUUAUAAUGGUAACUCUUAAGUAUGCAUUUUUAGUAAACCACUUAGGAGACAACCAAUUUUAAUUAUGUCCUUGAUGUAGAGCUUAAAGAAAAAGAUGGAGCUGUAGAAAACAUCUUAGUCUUGAAAUAUCUUACUCUUCCCAGUAUAAGGGGGGGCAUGGCCCUAUUUCACAGGUGCCCAGGCCUUAGCUAGAAAUGGAUGGUUCCAAGACAUGUCAAAAAACUGUUUGAAAGGUUUUAGAAGUUGUUAAUGACAUGAAAAUAUUUAGUAAAGGCAGUAUUUGAUCUGUCUAAUUUGGAUCCAAUAUCUAAACUCUGAAGACAUAUUUAUUUUAUUUUGCUAAUUUUAAAAGUGGCUUUAUUUUUUAAAAUAAUGUUUAUGUUUCUUUCAAUAGUGUGUGGAAUAUAUGUGGUUUUUGGUUAUGUGGAUAAAAGUUCCUUAGUGGUAAUUUCUGAGAUUUUGAGGCAUCUGUCUCCUGAGCAGUGUAUAAUAUACCCAAUAUGUCAUCAUUUAUUCCUCAUCCCCCUCCCAACCUUUCCCCGAGUCCCCAAGUCCAUUAUAUCAUUCUUAUGCCUUUGCAUUCUCAUAGCUUAACUCUCAUUUAAAAGUGAAAACAUUCAAUAUUUGAUUUGCCAUUCCUCAGUUACUUCACUUAGAAUAAUGGCUUCCAGUUCCAUCCAACUUGUUGCAAAGGACAUUAUUUUGUUCCUUUUUAUUAUCAAGUAUUAUUCCAUGGUGUACCACAUUUGCUUUAUCCACUCGUUCGUUGAUGGGCACUUAAGUUGGUCCCAUAUCACUGCAAUUGCGAAUCGGCUGCUAUAAACAUCCAUAUUCUUGUGUCUUUUUUAUGGAAUAACUUCUUUUCCUUUGGGUAGAUAGCCAGUAAUGGGAUUGCUGGAAUGAAUGGUCUACUUUUAGUUCUUUAAGGAAUCCCCAUACUGUUUACCAUAGUGGUCGGACUAGUUUAAAUUCCCACUAGCAGUGUCAAAGUGCUCCCUUUUGACCACAUCUAUGCCAACAUCUAUUGUUUUCUGACUUUUAAAUUAUGGGCUUCUAGCAAGAUUAAGAUAGCAUCUCAUUGUGGUUUUGUUGUGGGAUUUAGGAGGAUGAGAGAGAGGCUUUGGGUUAAAACAGGAGAAUCUUUUAUUGAGUGCUCUCAGGCCCAGCAGACUCACGUCCAAAGACAGGGCCUGGAACAAAGACAGCACUUGACUUUUAUACACACUUCACAAAAGGGGGUGGGCCAGCUUGAAGCAAGCUUACAGUGGUGUGAAAGCAGGGAUACAGAGGCAGGAAAAAGACAGUUAAUCAAAUUGUAACAGGUUCAUAACUCAGGAUUGCACAUAACUGUUGCUAUGCAACCCAGAUGUCUAUUAUCUAGGUUUUGCUCUAAAGAGGCUUGCAUUGGUUUAUCUUCACUAUGGUGCCUAGAGAGCUGUAGUUCAGGCCUGCUCAGGCUUCUCAUGACCUUUGCCAUACUUCUUAGAUAAAACAGAAUACUUGAAGUUACUAGUUAAAGAGAACAAGAAUCUAUAAACUCAUACCAUAAAACAAAGGAAAAUUUGUUUUUCUUCUCCCUACAUUGAAGGAGUGCUGGAAGAGUCUCCAGAAUACAAUAAAUAAUAUUAUCAAGACUUUUCCUGGGUCUGGGCUGUGCCUGUUGCUGCCUCUGGGACAAGUUAGCUUAAUACAAGAAAGCUUAUUUCCCUUUCUUUUUAAUUUUAUUUUUCUUUAAUUUCCCACCUCAGUUUUACUUUGCAUUUCCCUGAGAAUUUUUAAUAAGUAAAAUACUUAGAAAUAUACUUAACCAAGUAGGUUAAUGUAAGUUUCCUACAAGGAAAACUACAAAAUAGUGCUGAAAGAAAUCACAGUUGACACAAACAAAUGGGAACACAUUAUAAGCUUAUGAAUAGGUAGAAUCAAUAUUGUGAAAGUGACCAUACUCUCCAAAGCCAUCUACAGAGCAGUAGAAUUCUCAUCAAAAUAUCAUCAUUCUCCUUCCCAGAACUAGAAAAAAGAAUCCUAAAAUUUAUACAAAACCAAAAACGUGACCGCAUAUCCAAAGCAAUACUUUGCAAAAAGAACAAAUCUGAAGGCAGGCUUUAAAUUAUACUACAAGGCUACAAUCACCAAAAUAGCAUGAUACUGGUAUAAAAUAUGCACAUAGAGCAAUAGAACAGAAUAGAGAACCCAGAAAUAAAGCCAAAUGCUUACAGACAACUAAUCUUCAACAAAGUACACAAAAACAUUAAUUGGGGAAAGGAUACUUUAUUCAAUAAAUGGUGCAGGAAGUAUAAAAAUAGGCACAUAGAGCAAUGGAACAGAAUAGAGAACCCAGAAAUAAAGCCAAAUGCUUACAGACAACUAAUCUUCAACAAAGUAUGCAAAAACACUAAUUGGGGAAAGGACACUUUAUUCAAUAAAUGGUGCAGGAAGUAUAAAAAUAGGCACAUAGAGCAAUGGAACAGAAUAGAGAACCGAGAAACAAAGCCCGGUACUUUCAGUCACCUGAUCUUUAACAAAGCAUAUAAAAACUUCCAUCUAAGACCUGAAAGUCUAAAAAUGCUACAAGAUAGCAUCCAAAAAGCUUUUCUAGACAUUGGCUUAGGCCAAGUAGUCAUGACUAAUGCCCCAAAAGCAAACGCAAAAAUAUAAAAAUAGAAUAAGAUCAAUAGGACCUAAUGAAACCGAAAAUCUUCUGCAAGGCAGAAGAAAUAUCAGCAGGGUAAACACACAACCCACAGUAUAGGAAACAGUAGUCACAAACUAGGCAUCUGACAAAGGACUAAUGUCCAGACUCCAAAGGAACUGAAAGAAAUCAGCAAGAAGAAAAGGUGCCAUUUACCACCUUCCUGACUCAUUGGCCAGAACCAAUGUUAGUGGAAUUAACAUAUGCCCCACCCCAAGUGACUUCUAAAGGGCUAACUCACCACAAGGGAGUCAGAGCAGAUCUUGGACUGAGACCUACAGGACACAGGUGGCUCACCAGGAGAAAGGCAUAGCAGAACCUGGACUGAGACCUACGGGAGACAGCAGGCAGACACACAGGAGGUUGGACGUCGAGAGGAGCACAUCAGUGCAAGAACACAUGGGUGGCUGCCACUUCUCUCCCUUUCCUGAGAGGGAAAAACUCUCGACGCUGAGAGGAAUCCACCAACAGGCACCAGCACUCUGGCAGGCCACCGACCAAUGGAUUGACAUAGAGUUUGGCUGGGGCAGCCAGAGGAGAGCCUGGGCCGCUGAAUAACCCGACUUCAGGGGAAAACUAUUCUCCCUUUUGGCUCCCCCAUCUGCUGAGAGCUACUUCCACUCAAUAAAACCUUGCACUCAUUCUCCAAGACCACGUGUGAUUUGAUUUUUCUGGUACACCUAGGUAACAACCGCGGGAUACAGAAAGCCCUCUGUCUUUGGGUUAAGGAAUGGGUCUAAUUGAGCUGGUUACCACAAAGCCACCUAUAGAUGGCAAAACUAAAAGAGCACAUGGUACCACAUGUCCACUGGGGCUUCAGCAGCUGUAAACAUCUACCCCUAGAUGCUGCCAUGGGGUUGUAGCCCCACAACUUGCCAGUCUGUAUGCUUCCCUAGAGGUUUGAGCAGCGGAGUACUAAAGAAGCAAGCCACACCCCCACUCCACCUCCUGUGAGGGGGACAAGGAAACUUUUCCCAUUUCAACUGGUGGCUCGUCUGGGAUCUCGGAAGAUCAUCCUGGCCUGCUAAGACCCAUCCUGUGCUUAUAAAAACCCCAAGACCCUAGCAGUCAGACACACAGGAGGCUUGACGUCGAGAGGAGCACAUCAGCGGAGGAACACACAGGCGGCUGGACAUGAAGAGGAACAUGACAACAGGCACCAGCACACCAGCAGGGCACCGACUUAUAGAACGAUGUGGAUUUUGCCUGGGGCAGUCAGAGGAGAGCCAGGGCUGCUGAACGGCCCCAAUCCAGGGAGAAACCAAUCUCCUUUCUGGCUCCCCCAUCUGCUGAGAGCUACUUCCACUCAAUAAAACCUUGCACUCAUUCUCCACGUCCACGUGUGACCUGAUUCUUCUGGAAUGCCAAGGCAAGAACCCUAGGAUACAGAAAGCCCUCUGUCCUUGUGAUAAGGAAUGUGUCUAAUUGAGCUAGUUACCACAAGUUGCCUAUAAAUGGCAAAACUAAAAGACCACACGACCACUGGGGCUUCAGGAACUGUAAACAUCCACCCCUACACACUGCCAGUAUGAGAAAAAUUUGCUGAUAUGUUUUCUGCUGACCUGAUGACAAUGUUCCUAUGGUCACACUAACCACUGCUGGGUAAUUUUCAUCAUGACUCUCGUUUUCAUCUGCUGAAACCAGCCUCCCCAAGAAAGACAACUAUUUUCAAACUGAGGAAAUAAAGUGUUACUAAACCACAGUGUUCUCUCAUGGCUGUUCCUGGAGUUCUUCAAAACACUUGAUAUUAUAAAAUAGAAUUAUUACAGAUCACUGUAUGUUAUGGAUUUAGUCAAAAUGAUAAUUUAAAAUAUGGUUUAAAAUAAAAAACUUUAUUUUCCAAAGAAGAUAGUUUUUUAAACAAGAAUAUCCAAUAAAGACAGUAUGAGGUCAGCUGACUUUAGUGUUGGUGUAUGUGUAUGUGUGUGUGUG